CUACGGGCCGCUGCAGUGGGGAAUUUUGGACAAUGGGCGAAAGCCUGAUCCAGCAAUGCCGCGUGCAGGAAGAAGGCCUUCGGGUUGUAAACUGCUUUUGUACGGAGCGAAAAGGUCCUUUCUAAUACAAGGGGCUCAUGACGGUACCGUAAGAAUAAGCACCGGCUAACUACGUGCCAGCAGCCGCGGUAAUACGUAGGGUGCAAGCGUUAAUCGGAAUUACUGGGCGUAAAGCGUGCGCAGGCGGUUGUGUAAGACAGGCGUGAAAUCCCCGGGCUCAACCUGGGAAUGGCGCUUGUGACUGCAAAGCUGGAGUGCGGAAGAGGGGGAUGGAAUUCCGCGUGUAGCAGUGAAAUGCGUAGAUAUGCGGAGGAACACCGAUGGCGAAGGCAAUCCCCUGGGCCUGCACUGACGCUCAUGCACGAAAGCGUGGGGAGCAAACAGGAUUAGAUACCCCGGUAGUC
rnacentral:rRNA from 1 species